GACGAAAGCUGGCGGCGUGCUUAACACAUGCAAGUCGAACGGAAAGGCCCUGCUUUUGUGGGGUGCUCGAGUGGCGAACGGGUGAGUAACACGUGAGUAACCUGCCCUUGACUUUGGGAUAACUUCAGGAAACUGGGGCUAAUACCGGAUAGGAGCUCCUGCUGCAUGGUGGGGGUUGGAAAGUUUCGGCGGUUGGGGAUGGACUCGCGGCUUAUCAGCUUGUUGGUGGGGUAGUGGCUUACCAAGGCUUUGACGGGUAGCCGGCCUGAGAGGGUGACCGGCCACAUUGGGACUGAGAUGCGGCCCAGACUCCUACGGGAGGCAGCAGUGGGGAAUAUUGCACAAUGGGCGGAAGCCUGAUGCAGCAACGCCGCGUGCGGGAUGACGGCCUUCGGGUUGUAAACCGCUUUCGCCUGUGACGAAGCGUGAGUGACGGUAAUGGGUAAAGAAGCACCGGCUAACUACGUG
rnacentral:rRNA from 1 species